rnacentral:misc_RNA from 1 species
GAUGAAGAACGUAGCGAAAUGCGAUAAGUAAUGUGAAUUGCAGAAUUCAGUGAAUCAUCGAAUCUUUGAACGCACAUUGCGCCCCCUGGUAUUCCGGGGGGCAUGCCUGUCCGAGCGUCAUUACAACCCUCAAGCUCAGCUUGGUGUUGGGCCCCGCCGCCCCGGCGGGCCCUAAAGUCAGUGGCGGUGCCGUCCGGCUCCGAGCGUAGUAAUUCUUCUCGCUCUGGAGGUCCGGUCGUGUGCUCGCCAGCAACCCCCAAUUUUUUUCAGGUUGACCUCGGAUCAGGUAGGAUACCCGCUGAACUUAAGCAUAUCAAUAAGCGGAGGA